rnacentral:rRNA from 1 species
GACGUAGGAUGCAAGCGUUGUCCGGAUUUAUUGGGCGUAAAGAGUUCGUAGGCGGUUCGUUAAGUCUGAUGUUAAAUAUCGGGGCUCAACCUCGGGAGUGCAUUGGAUACUGGCGGACUGGAGUGUGGUAGAGGUUAGUGGAAUUCCCAGUGUAGCGGUGAAAUGCGUAGAUAUUGGGAAGAACACCAGUGGCGUAGGCGACUAACUGGGCCAUAACUGACGCUGAGGAACGAAAGCAUGGGUAGCAAACAGG